CAGUCGCCACGGUAAUACGGAGGGAGCUAGCGUUGUUCGGAAUUACUGGGCGUAAAGCGCGCGUAGGCGGUUACUCAAGUCAGAGGUGAAAGCCCGGGGCUCAACCCCGGAACUGCCUUUGAAACUAGGUGACUAGAAUCUUGGAGAGGUCAGUGGAAUUCCGAGUGUAGAGGUGAAAUUCGUAGAUAUUCGGAAGAACACCAGUGGCGAAGGCGACUGACUGGACAAGUAUUGACGCUGAGGUGCGAAAGCAUGGGGAGCAAACAGGAUUAGAUACCCGAGUAGUCCCUGUCUCUUAUAC
rnacentral:rRNA from 1 species